UACGUAGGGCGCAAGCGUUGUCCGGAUUUAUUGGGCGUAAAGAGCUCGUAGGCGGUCUGUCGCGUCGGCUGUGAAACCCCGAGGCUCAACCUCGGGCCUGCAGUCGAUACGGGCAGACUAGAGUGCGGUAGGGGAGACUGGAAUUCCUGGUGUAGCGGUGAAAUGCGCAGAUAUCAGGAGGAACACCGGUGGCGAAGGCGGGUCUCUGGGCCGUAACUGACGCUGAGGAGCGAAAGCGUGGGGAGCGAACAGG
rnacentral:rRNA from 1 species